UUUAAAAACUUGACACAAGCUGCAAAAUGUUGUAUUGAAAAAGUGAGACAUGGAUUUGUUACCUUGACCUAUAAACAUUCUGGUCACACCAGUCGAUAGUCCGAAUUUUGAUUCCCAUCGUAAGCUUGUGCAAGCAAAAUGGACGUCACAAAUUUACUCCAAUUGCCAUUUGAAACUUUAAACGUUAUCUUUGGUAGACUAUGUCUGGCGGAUCAAUUAACGUUGGCGGAGUCGCAUCCUACGCUGCUGGCUGUAUUUUUACACCGUUGCCAUGUGUCUCCAGACCCCUUUAAUAAUGGCAUUGAAAUAACACUUCAACCAGCUACCAACAAUAACGAUUGAGAGCUUAAACAACUAAAUAACAAACUGCCUUAAUGGGAAAUCGUUUGAAUAAACAUAUUUUAUUAAAUUAAACCGAA